UUCAACACCACCCUCCAGAUUUCUGUAAAAGAUAGACAGGAACAUGGGCAGGAUGUUUAUACAGCAGAAUGUAAACAUUUUCCCCUGGCCUUCUUUAAAUAAAAAAUCAAGCAAAAAGCCCCAGUUAGAUCAGCUAAUACUCAAUCUGAUGCGAUAUGCCCGUCUGUUCGCGGCGUCCGGUGGUAGAUGUUGGACUUUUUUUUUUACACAUGAAUAUUGUUUGUGUAAUGCAGUCAUAAUAUUUACGCAGGGACGCAGGAGGAGUGAAGCUCAGCCGAGCUGUGAGCACAGAAACUCGGACUGGGACUUGAGGUCGACUCCUGCAGGCAGUUUAACCAUCGACUGAUCCAGGAUUUAAGGAAGAUCCAGUCCACCCACGCAGUGAGUGAGUGGGAAGCCUGUUGGGUGCCCCACCCUGCAGCGCUGCAGUCCUGCACACCUCCCAUGGCUGCUCCAACAUGGUCUGUCUGAUCCAUAGGAGAGACAUCAAUAAGAAGAGGUGAAGCAGAAACCACAGUGAAGAACACAAAAGAAGAGAUGGAUCUGCAGACACACAGGCCACAACCGGCUCUGCUGCAGAGGUACAGGCUCAUCACGACUGCAUUCUUUCCAUUUUGUUGAAGAGCAGCGUGGCAGAGAAGGCUGGAGUGGGCAGGCGUGCGGCUUUGGCCACAGGAAGCUGUGAAUUCUUUGGAGAAUGGAAGAUGUCUUAUGGGGAGACAUACUGGCCUCCACCCUCCCACUCACCACCCCAAAAUGACACCUGACCCCUUCAUGUGUUUAUAUCAGACCAUGGAAGUGAGAAAUAGUGAUGAGUCACUCUGGCUGUGUGUUUACACUCCGGAGUCACGCAAGGAAGGAAAUCAGCCACGGUCUGCUAAAAGUGGCGAGGUGAGAGAGAAUAGCUGCAGUCCCCAGCGCUGCAGUGAUUUACCUCUCACAGCCAGAAUUUAUUUCACGUCAUCUCUGCUGGGAAGACCUCAGACCAACAGAAAACAGCAGCAUUAGCAGCGCGGUGGACUGUUGUCGAGGAAAAGGCAGUUCUGAGUGCGACAAGGGCCAAAACAAGAAGUAGUCGCUGGGGAUAUGGUGUUUGUGUGUGCAUGUAUACUGUAUGUGUAAAUUGUCUUAUUAGAUACACAGUGUUGAUCACAUUCAGUUGCUUUUUAAUCAAAGGCAGGUAAAACACACGUCACUAGAAUGAAAACCUGUUUCUCCACACAUCCCAGAAAAACAAUUUUCAGCUUGAUGACGAUACAUUUCACUGUGUAAAUCAUCUCAGCUACAAGGAGAGCAUCUAACUGCUCAAUUUAACUUAAAAAUCAAAAUCAUUAAAACUGGAGUUACAAGUUUUUCACCCAACAGCAAUGAUAUGUACUUAUUCAGAUUUUCUUUAUUAUCAUUGGUAUACUAUAUUGAUAUCAAUAUUUAAAAAAAACUUAACUCAUUUUAAUUUCAUUCACAAUUCAAAAUGAUUUCCUGCAA